AUUGGCUUUAUAUGUUUUUAUGCGCAAUGCUUUUAUUAUUCUUUCUGACCCAGUUGGUUGAGGCUAAGCCCAAAAGACUCUGGCCAAAUGUAGAUAUGAACUGUCAUUGGGAGCAAUCUGGUUGUAAACGAUUUGAUUCUAUUAAAAAAAGUGUUUCGAAAUGAAUUUCCAAGCAAAUGAAGUUUUUUUGUGUUGGGUUGAAAAUUGAAAUUUGAUUAUCAAGCGCAAAUCAACCGCAGCUGUGGCAAUUAAGUCCCUCAAAAAUGUGUUUAACCUAACCCAUUAACCUUGAGUUGCAAAUAUAAAGCCGCGAUUUAAUUCCA